CCAAAUUCCAUCAAGUGAAGAACCGGGAUCUACAAGCACAAACACAAUGGAGAUCAGACACUUAAUUUCCCAAAGGAAAUAUUGAAUAACCUCUGUGUCCGAGUUGGUACCUUGUACGCUUCAGCAAACUUCGUGGUGAUAGAGACUAGUAGUGAGGAGAGGGCACCCAUCAUCUUAGGGAGGCCAUUCCUAAACACCAGGGCAGUCAUCUAAGCUAAUGCUGUCCAGAUCAGUCUCUACAUCAAGGGGAAGAAGGAGAUUUUCCUUCAAGAACAAGACUACACAAACUUCAGAGCAAUCCCGACAUGAACCAAGGAAGAGGACCAACAGGAGGAACAGGAACAAGCAAAUGUGGACCGAGUCAGCUAAGAUGGUCACUGCAGCUCAUGGAGGUCAAGAUCGUCGACUCAAGUCACCUUUCUUGAUCAAGAAGGACGACCCUAGUGUUCCAAGAAUCGAAUGCACAAACAAUGGAUACUCUUUUUUUAGAAGACACUCUACGACACCGGAUCUAACGACAACAUAAUGGCCGCAGUCACUUAUCAGCUCCUGCAUGGAACCAUGCUCCUACAACCAAGAUACAUUCAGCUUCAGACAAUUUUCAGGUCAUGGGAGAAGACGAGUAUGAUUCAUCCACCAUCCUUGGAAGACCGUUCCUCAGCACUAUCAAAGCCAUUAUCUAUAUUGGAACCGGAGAAGUCCACAUGCACUUCCCCUCUGAGAAGGUACGCCACUACUUUAAUGAUUCUAACUAUAUAGUUGAAGAUUCUAAGCAGGUCAGGACAAGAAGAAGACAAACCGCAACCAGAGGAGGCAAAUCGGACGGAAGGGUAGACUACGAAAGAGAAGUGAUAAGGACUGAAGACAUACAACUUGAACAGAACUGUCCUGAGGAGACCGUAGCACCGAGUCAGGUGUGGAAAGAGAAGAUAGUUAUACACGAAGAGGAGGCGCCGCCGGAACCACCGACUAUGCCACCCAGCAAAUCCCAGGACGACUAAGAAAACGGAGAGUCCCGUUCGGAGGACUUAAAAAUACCGAACGCCUUGCCAAGAGGUAAACUUGGUAGUUAUCCUUUCCCUUUCAAUUAUUUUAAAUAGUUUACUUAGUUAAUCAUAUUCAUACUAUCUUAAAAAUAAAAGAAAAUAAAAAUGUGAAAAACAGUAAGCCCCAUGUGAGUAUACGAGUGGCAUAAAACCCAUAAGUACAUUCACUGUGGUGGCAUAAAAAUAAAAUAAAUAUUUUUCUGCUUUAUAAAAUGAAAAUAUAAAAAACAGGGAGUAAUAAUUAUUAAGGAGUCUCAAGAUGAUAAAGGCUAGAUAUUUAUGCUAACACUUAAUCAGUUCCACAAGCUUUGUUGUCUAUUUGAGCUCCACAGAAUUUAAGAAUCAAGAAGACUAGCAGACGGAGGACAUUCUAAUCGCUGUCAGAAUGCUGCUGACUUUCAAAAACACCUCUACCACCUGCUAGCUACAUCAAGAGAAAUUACGUCAAAAUUCAGCUUGGGGGAGAGCACCCCCAUUUAUCUCGAUAAGUAUUUCUAUCUAUCUAUCUUUAUACUUAUACUAUAUUAGAAUAUAAAUACACAUAACUAUGAAAAACCAAAUAAAGAUUUUAUGCUUAUAUAUAUUUUGCUUAGUGUGUUUAAUAAAUAAAUAAAGUGGCUAUGCUAAUCUGUAUCUAAUAAAACUUAAGCAUGGAUAUGAUGAAUAGUUGCUCUGCCUAAUUUGCAAAUUUGAAGUUCUCUCUCAAGUUUAGAUGUAACUGUUAUAAUUUAAGGCUUGCUCUAGACCUAAACUUGUGGGAUGAAAACUUGAUCUGAAGUCUAAGUUGUUAACGGAUACGAUAUGGGAAGGUUGAGCUGCUGUUUAUCUGUUCCUAGAGAUGCUAGAAUUCUGGAGAAUUUUAUCUUUGAAAAUCUUUAAAAUAUUGCAUGAUGAGUUCCUGUAUGAUGAGAGUUUAAAUUCCUACCACAGCCAUAUAUACAUGCUUGCUAGACCUUGAGCCACACAUUUACUAUUUACUGCUUAUGAGCAUUGAGUGUGGUCAAGCUGUGUAGACCCUUAGGAGCUUGUCAUGUGGGUAAAUCAAGAUUCACUUGCACGUUCACUCAUACAUGCUACUUCUACUCUGGAAGUACCAUCCACAUAUAUCCACUCAUUUCCAUCUCCAAAACCACCCAAAAGUAUUCUACUCCUAAUCCGGGAGAGAAUAACCAAAAAUAUUUCUGUUUCCCCUUGUGAAAUAAAUGCUCAAGUUAUCUUGUUACUACCACUUGCUAUAUUAUUUAAGGAGAUGAGUGCUCUAAAAAAAGAAAGAAAAUAAUAUACGAGGAAAUAAAAAGGGGCAAGUGCCCGGAACCUCGAAGAAAAGAAAAAGUGAGACGAGAGGUAAAAAUGGACAAGUGUCCGACAGUAGAAUUAGGAGUACAAGAUACCCACCUGAGAGGUAAGAAAAAAGAAAAUAUAGAGCAUCUCAUUCUCCCCAAAAAAAAAGCUUCUAAGUGCAAGAAAGGUAUGUAUCCCCUUAAAAGAGCAAAAGUAGAAUUAGACUUUCACCAUUGUUAUCUCCAUCAUCACCAUACACCAUUCAUUCGCCACACAUGCACAUCUUGAUUUGACUUAUUGAUUUGUUUCUCUGGAUCCAUGGUUUGACUAUGCAAUAAAUGUCUUGUAAGUAUGUAUACUUUAUCUCCCACCUAUGAGCUCCAGAUAUUAAAGCCUUAUUAGAGUAGGGUGAGAGAGAAGACAAUGUAACUAUGCUUCAUACCACAAAUACUACAUAUCUUGAGAGAAGGCAUAUACCAUCACUGCCUUGGUAAGGAUCCAAAAAUACCACAAAAGAGAGACCUGAGAGAAUCAUACAAGGAAUUUCUGAGUUUUAUUUGAAAAUCUGCAAAAACCCCAGAGCUAUAGCUGAUCAAGAAUAAGAGACAUGGCACUUGGCUAGACUGUUCUAUCUUUUAACCACUCAAGACAGAAGUGACGGUUACAAGUCCUAUGGUGUAGGUAAAGUAAGUAAGUUUUAAGUCUUAACAGUUUAUUCUAACUCAGAGAUGAGAUCUUGCUUAAAUGCGUGUGUACUUCUAAGAAACGAAACCACUGCAGAAACUCUUGAGUUCAUCCUUGCUCAGGGACGAGCAAGAGGUAAGCUUGGGGGAGUUUGUUGACGGUCCUUAAGUAUCAAAUUUAAUUAUCAAAUAAACAAAGAAAAGGAUCCAAAUGAAAUCAACAUCUAGACUUAGGGUUUUAUGUGACAGAAUUCCACGAGUUUUGGUGUUUGUCUAUUUCUGCAGGGGGUUAUCAGGAAAUAAGGAAGAAAGGCCCACAUGUCAGGAUUACAUAGAGAUAUCAACCCACCGCGCAAUUUUCUACCAUCUAGAAGACUCCAGAAGCCACGGAAAGGAAGCGGAGCCCGAAAGGGGCCAGGCCCAGGGCGCCCACCCUAAGGACCUGGGCGCCCGCCCACCUCUGGACCCCGUUCCGAACUCUCUUCGCACACGACGUUCCACCGACCUAUUGGAUCCAGAAUAACAUAGUACCACCUCGCCUAUCGACCCAAAAACACAUAGAAGGGGAGGACUAUAUAAGGAGACCCCCUCUGGCCCCUGGAGGAGACAAGAAAUUAUCAUAGAGAUUGAGGGGUGCCCUCGAAGGAAAACCUCUUCUCUAAAUAAUAUUUCUUUUUAGGCUUAGCAACCAAUGUAAAGUAGAAAUAGAUCUUCUCGUUUCUACUAGAUUGAGAGAGAUAGAGUGGAGGUGUGGAUCGGAGGAAGGCCGGCCUGUCGGUGUCUACUCCGAGUUGUACCUACGGGAUCAAGUCUCCUAACCCGAGGCUUGCUUCUAAGAUUUUCAGUAAUUCGACUUCUAAUAAUAGUAAGUUCUUCUUUUAUUGUUCUUUGGUUUAUGAGUUUACUUUAAUCCUCUUCCGGUUGAGUAUUAGAGUAAUCACUUGUUAGCGUAAACGUGGUGUUUAGGCUAGGGGACUCAUAGAUAUCCCCUGACUAGCUGGACCGUGGUAGUAGCGAGGAACGUGACAUUUCCGAGUUACCUUUGCAGAUCACAUCUCGUUAGCAGGACGGGUAGGUUUAUAGGUGCGGGUCGAACAUCCUUGUGUUGUCUAGAUUCCGUGAGCCUCCCCAAUAGAACAGUAGAUCAUCCUUACCAAGGUUAGAACGAGACUACGGUUGUAGUCUUCUCUAUACAUCACUCACAUCGAGAGACAUUCUUUGUAGCCUAAAGGGAUAGUAGCAAUAGAUUUGGUUAGUCAGAUGCACCCUUUCUCCCAGUGGUAAAAAUAUAAAUACGAUAACUCUGGAUAACCUCCCGGGUGAAAUGCUCACCGAUAUCCGUGCGCUUGCGGAUCAUUUUCUAAUUGCGUUACCAAAUAUCAACAAGCUCCAGAUAUCAAAAGCCUUAUUAGAGUAGGGUGAGAGAGAAGGCAAUGUCACUAUGCCUCAUACCAAAAAUACCACAUACUUUGAGAGAAGGCAUACACCAUUACUGCCUUGCUAAGGAUCCAGAAAUACCACAAAAGAUAGACUAGAGAGAGUCAUACAAGGAAUCUCUGAAUUUUAUUUGAAAAUCUGCAAAAAACUCCAAAGCUAUAGUUAAUCGAAGAAUAAGAGACAUGGCGCUUGACUAGACUGUUCUAUCUUUUAACUGCUCAAGAUAGAAGUGACGGUUACAGGCCCCAUGGUGAAAGGUAAAAUAAGUAAGUUUAAAUCUUAACAGUUACCCUAACCCAAAGAUGAGAUCUUGUUUGAACGCAUGUGUAUCAUUAAGGCAUGAAACCACUGCAGAAACUCUUGAGUUCAUCUUUGCUCAGGGAUGAGCAAAGGUUAAGCUUGGGGGAGCUUGUUGACGGUCCUUAAUGCUCACAUUUAACCAUCAACUAAUCAUGGAAAAGGACUUAUAUGCAACCAACACCUAGACUUAGGGUUUUAUCUGACAGAAUUCCACGAGUUUUGGUGUUUGUCUAUUUCUGCAGGGGGUUAUCAGGAAAUACGGAAGAAAGGCCCACACGUCGGGUUUACAUAGAGAUAUUAACGUGCCGUGCAAUUUUCUAUCAUCUAGAAGACUCCAGAAGCCAUGGGAACGAAGCGGAGGCCGAGAGGGCUCAGGCACCGGGCGCCCGCCCUAGUCCUGAGGGCGCCCGCCCUGCUACAGUGCUCAAUCAGAGUCCAAUUCGGGGACAACGCUCCACCGACCUAAAGGAUCAAGGAAAACCGUGCGAUUAAUGUCGGUUUGAUCCAAUGGCCCAUAUUCACUUGAAGGGACUAUAAAACCAGACCCCCCUGGCCCCAGGAGAUCAUACCUCUUCUACAGAAUCAAAGCUAGGGUUUCAAUUCUUCAUCCAAGUAGUGAGGAUCCCUCUAGUUCUUCUAGUUCUACCUCUAGUUCAUCUAGAUCCAGUUCUAGUUCAUCUAUUUCUAGUUCUAGUUCCUCUAGUUCUAGUUCUAGUAAGUUCUAGUUGUAAUCUAGAAAAUAGGAAGAGAGAAGAGGAGAGCGGAGGAGGAGCCGGAUCUGUCGGAUCUUCCUCAAUAUUAUACUUUUGCAGCAACUGGUUUGUUCUUCAUCGUUCUCCAGGUUCUUCAAUUCACAAUUCCUGAGUUCUUUAAUUACUUUUAUUUACAUUCAAGUUAUUUAUUGGAUUCCCGCUUGCAUCAAGUGCUCUAAUCUUUGAAACAUUAGAGUAGUAAUUAAUAGAUUAGACGUGGUGUUUAGUCUUGCAAUUACCUGGAAUUGCACCCAAUCCUGCGGAUUGUUGUCAUAGCCUUAGGGUAGUGAUAGCCCUAACGGUCGACGUAUUCCACCUCGUUCGGAUCGGUGUUUGUAGGACCGUAGUCAGACCUUCCUAGCCCCCUUCUCAUCUCUUUCUGUGGUUAGUGCUCUGAUGUCCCGAUAUAAAUAAUCUUUGAAGUAAUUCUUGAUUCUUAGAUCAAUUAGAGAACUCUCAGGAAACUUCCUCUCUUCCCACCAAAAAUAAUUAUAUAGUUAUCCUUGGGCGAUCUUGGAUCUUAAUUAGUACACUCACGUUCUCUGUGGAAAAUCGAUACUCUGAAAUACUCCCAGGUGAAAGCUACAUCGAUAUCCGUGCGCUUGUGGAUUUUUCUGUUUGCGUUUAAAAUACCCAACACAUGCCUCAAGGACGAGAUGGGCGAGCUUCUACAGGGUCGGAACUGUGGCCUCACCACUCAGCAGAGGAGAUCACCAGUCACAUAUGUAAAAACCUGUGCCCCCUUGAGACUAUAAAAGGGGAGCCAGGGCUCACAACCAUGACACGGCCAUCCACACAACACACAAUGACGGCAAAGCAACACCACACUCCAAGCGAGUUCUCACACAGAGUAGCUAGCAGCGCUCUAUCCACCACGCAAAGCCGAGACUUGGGACUUAGCCCUCUCUUGCAACCUGCUUGUACACCCCUAUUACAAGCACCUUUGGGUGCAAGGCAAUACAGACCCCCGAUCUCACUGGACGUAGGGCAUCCUUAGCCCGAACCAGUAUAAACUCUCUGUGUUCCACUUGCAUCACCAUCCAGGUUUCGGUGCUCACGCAUACUUAUACACGUUUGUGUCUAGACCACGAGUCUAGACGCCGACCACAGGAUUUUCCCAAAGUUUCAUUAUCUUUUUGUUUAAAAGAUAGGACUUCGAGUCUAAGGUCGCCGAUACGGUCGAGGGAAUAGAAAUCUAGACAAAAGUUGGAUCGUAAAACUCCCCGUUCACCUCGUUGUUGACUUACCUUCUCACUGUACCAUUGUCUAGCUUCUCCCCUUAAAGAAAAAGGAAAAAGCAUCCAACGUAAAGUUUUAUCAGAAAUGCCUUUAAUGCGAACACAAUCACAUGUUUGCUCAAAAUCUCUAAUGUGAAGGUAAGGGUUUUCGUCUUCCUUUCCCGAAAAAGAUAGGUUUUGAAUCAUGGCAAUCAACCUAGAACUUAACCUAUACUGGGAUGUUUGGAUAGGUAGUGAUGACUCCCAUGGUAAAAGGUCAGUUACUGAAGUAUUGCUAAUUCAUGGAUCGAUUUAGAAUUUUGGUUUUCCAUAAGAUAAGAGUAAUGAAAAUAAAUAAAGAAUAUAAAAGAUAAGAAAAGAUAAAAGUAUAGAUACAAGCUAGUAGUAAGACUCAAGGUUAUCUCAGCAAACCGUCUUUCUCCCCAGCAACGGUGCCAGAAAUGCUUGUUGAUAUUUGGGACCGCAAUAAGGAAUGGAUCCGCAAGCGCACGGAUACGGUGAGCACUUCACCUGGGAGGUUAUCUAGAGUAUCGUAUUUAUUUUUUUACCACUAGGAGAAAGAGUGUAUCUGACUAACCUGGUCUAUUACUACUAACCUUUAGGCUACAAAGAAUGUUUCUCGAUGUGAGUGAUAAAUAGAGAAGACUACAACCGUAAUCUCUUUCUAACCUUGGUAAGGAUGAUCUACUAUUCUAUUGGGGAAGCUUAUGGAAUCUAGACACCACAGAGGAUGUUCAACCCGCACCUAUAAACCCUAUCCUUCCUGCUAACGAGAUAUGGUUUGCAAAGGUAACUCGGAAAUAUCACGUUCCUCGCUACUACCGCAGUCCAGCUAGUCAGGGGAUAUCUAUGAGUAUCCUAGCCCAAACACAACGUCUACGCUAGAGAUGAUUACUCUAAACUCUACGCGAAGAGAUUAAAGUAAACUCAUAAACCAAAGAACAAUAAAACAAGAACUUACUAGAAUUUAGAAGUCGAAAUACUGAAGAAUCCUAGAAGCAAGCUUCGGGUAAGGAGAACUUGAUCCCGCAGGUACAACCUCGGAAUAGACACCGACAGGCCGGGCUUCCUCCGAUCUACACCUCCACUCUAUCUCUCUCAAUCUAGUAGAAACUAGAAGAUCUAAUUCUACUCACAUUGGAUGCUGAGCCUAAAAGAAAUUUUAUUUAGAGGAGAGGUAUUCCUUCGAGGGCUCCUCUCAACUCUAUGAUGAACUUGUCUCCUCUAGGGGCCAGGGGGUCUGGUUUUAUAGUCCCCUCAAGUGAACAUGAGCCAUUGGAUCAAACCGACAUUGAUUGGACGGUUAUCCUUGAUCCUUUAGGUCGGUGGAGCUUGGUCCACGAAAAGAGUCGCGAUUGGAGUCCAGGAGGGGGCGGGCGCCCUGGGCUAGGCCCCGUUCGGGCUCCGCUUUGUUCCCGUGGCUUCUGGAGUCUUCUAGAUGGUAGAAAAUUACGCGGUGCAUUGAUAUCUCUAUGUAAUCCCGACAUGUGGGCCUUUCUUCCUUAUUUCCCGAUAACCCCCUACAGGAACAGAUAAACAACAAAACUCGUCGAAUUCUGUCAGAUUAAACCCUAAUUCUAGGUGUUGUUUGCAUAUUGGUCCUUUCUCUUAUUUAUUUGAUAAUUAAAAUUGAUACUUAAGAAACAUAAACAGGCAUAUACCAUCACUGCCUUGGUAAGGAUCCAGAAAUACCACAAAAGAGAGAAUUAAGAGAGUCAUACAAGGAAUCUCUGAGUUUUAUUUUAAAAAUCUACAAAAACACUAGAGCUAUAGUUGAUCAAAGAACAAGAGACAUGGUGCUUGACUUGACCAUUCUAUCUUUUAACAACUCAAGACAUAAGUGACGGUUGCAAGCCCCAUGGUGAAAGGUAAAAUGAGUAAGUUUUAAGUCUCAACAGUUUAACCUAACCGAGAGAUGAUGUUGACGAUCCUUAAGUAUCAAAUUUAAUUAUCAAAUAAAUAAAGAAAAGGAUCCAAAUGAAAUAAAGAUCUAGACUUAGGGUUUUAUCUGACAGAAUUCCACGAGUUUUGGUGUUUGUCUAUUUCUGCAGGGGGUUAUCAGGAAAUAUGGAAGAAAGGCCCACAUGUCAGGAUUACGUAAAGAUAUUAACGUGCUGCGCAAUUAUCUUACAUCUAGAAGACUCCAGAAGCCACGAGACCGAAGCGGAGGCGAAUCGGGGCCAGAGACAGGGCGCCCGCCCUGUCCAACUAGGCGCCCGCCCUGCCCCCAAGUCCAAUCAGGACUCUGCUUUGCGGGAAGUCUACACAGACCUAAAGGAUGAAUCUAAACCAUACAAUCUAUGUCGGUUUGAUCCAAGGGCCCAUAUUCACUUGAAGGGACUAUAAAACCAGACCCCCUGGCCCCUGGAGGAGAGAGCCUCUCAACCCUAAUUCAUUGUUCCAUCAAGGGAGAAGAAGCCUCUGAUCAAGAUUAGAGCCACCACAUCAAUUAGACAUCUAGAUUAGCAUAGCUACAUAGGAUUAGAACUAGAAGGAGUCAAUCUUCGAUUGGUUUCCGGAUCUGUCAGGAGGAUUCUUGGUAAUUCUCUAAUUGUGCUUCUAAUUGCUUUCUAAUUAUCUUUGUUCUUCAAUAUUAUGAAUAUGACUUUGUUCUACUUCAAUAUAUUGCUUAUGACUUUGCUCUACUUGCUUAUAUUCAAGAUUAUAUUGUUCUUAGUUUAUCAUAGUUAUGUACUUGCCUUAGUUAGAUACGAUCUAUAUACAUGCUUAGGAUCGUAUAGCGUUUAUCCAUUGGAUCCAUGGGUAAAUGAUAGAUAUUGUGUAGGCGUGGUUCUUAUACCGUAUUUAUCUGCGAUUGUACCCAAUAUGCCAGAUCGUGGGGUAGUUCGUGAUAGUGACAGCUUCAUUGAUUCUUAUAUAGUCCCCCUCUCGUGUAUUGGGCUGGCAGAGCAACAUUAUUACAGGGGAGUGAUUGCUAUGUUUCUCAUAUUCCUUGCUAAUGUCACUAUGCAUGGGCGUAGUCUUGUCUCGCAAUGAUUGCUAAGUAUGCUUGCACUAACUAUGAUAUGCUAGACUAUAUAGUUGAGAAUAACUUAGGGAAUAUUCUUGUAGUUCGUUCUAAUACCAUGCUAAUGACUUUCUAGAGUAUCUAAUUGAGGUGCUUAUCAUAUUUAUUAUGUGGCUAGAUCAGAUUAGUUAUCCUUGUCACUAUUAUCAUUUCAUAUAUCUUUUAUGUGACACUUAUCCCUGUAUGAUGAGUUAGAUAUAAUGUUCCCAAUUAUACAUGCAAUGAUAGAUGCUCAAUCUCAUAUUCUAUUCUGUAAUCAAUAGUGAUGAUUGACUAAUCCCUUCCCAGUGGUAAAAAUAUAAAUAACGAUACCUGGAAUACUUCCCGGUCAAAAUGCUGCAUCGGUAUUAAUCUGUGCGCUUGCAGAUCCCAUUCAUUAUUUAUUUAGAAGAGCAAUUGCAUAUUUCAAUACCGCGUCUCUCAUGUCAUGCUGGGGAUGACAACUUGGCUUAAGUGUUGUGAGGGAUAGGUUUUGCAUUUUUGGCACCGUUGCUAGAUUUAGAACUUAGUCUACUUUUGGUAAUGAUGUUAAGAAUACCCAACAAGCAUAUUUUUGGCGCCAUUGCCGGGGAAGGUUGAUUACCAAUCAGGAAUGGAAUAAAAGAUUUUGAGUCAUCAUUCGCAUCACUAAUAUGAUUGAGCUUAUCUAUUCUCUCAUACAAUUUUACCCCGAUAUUUUUCUAUUUUAUCUUAUGCAGGGGAAUGUAUGAAUAGAAGACAUCUUCCAGGGAAUUUUGUUGACGAUCCUGAAGCAUUAUUCAAGAAGACGAGAGCCAAGCUAAAGAAAUCAUCAACACUUCACGAAGAAGCUUCAUCCAAUCAAGAAGAUCACCGGAACUUGUCUUCGGAGUUCGAAGCCAUGGCGAACAAAUCGAUCCGCGAGUUCUCAGCUCCCACUACGGACAACAUUCGCACUGGACCUGCUGCAGAGAUCGAUGGCAACUUUGAGCUCAAGCCUGGACUUAUCAACAUGGUGCAAUCCAACCAGUUCUGUGGGAAGGCACACGAAGAUGCUAGUGCUCAUUUACAACACUUCCUGGAGAUUUGCAACACAUUCACCAUAGCAGGAGUUUCCAAAGACGCUAUACUACUUCGCCUCUUCCCAUUCUCACUGUUAGGAAGAGCGAAGCAGUGGUUCUACGCUACAAAGGAGAAGAAUACUACGUGGGCACUCUGCUCAACAAACUUCCUGGCUAAGUUCUUUCCCAUGGGCAAGACCAAUGCUCUCCGUGGGAAGAUUACAAGUUUUCAGCAACAAAAUGAUGAAUCUGUUCCAGAAGCAUGGGAGCGCUUUCAAGACUACAUCCUAGAAUGUCCCCAUCAUGGAAUGGAGAGUUGGCUAUUGAUGCAGACAUUCUAUCAUGGGCUCAGCAACAGUGCCCGAGAGACUAUGGAUGCUGCUGCUGGAGGAGCAUUCUUAUCACUUACUAUACCACAAGCCACAGCUCUUGUGGAGAAGAUGGCGUCCAAUCAAAGCUGGAAUGAAGAGAGGACCCAGACACGCAAGAGAGGUGGAGGUAUGCAUCAGCUGAAGGAGGUAGACAUGCUGUCUGCAAAGCUAGACCUGCUCAUGAAGAAGCUCGAUGAUAGAGCUGGAGACAAGAAAGAAGUUAUGCACAUCUACGAUUCUCACAUGACUUGUGAGGAGUGUGGAGACACUGGACACUCAGGCAACCACUGCCCUGAGAUACUUGAGGAUGUGAACUACAUCAACAACAACAACAACUACUACAACCGUCCUCAACAAAAUCAAGGUUGGAAUCAACAGAGGCCUAACUACUCAGGUAAUUAUCAAGGUAACAAUUCUUACAACAACAAUAAUAAUUUUCCACCUUUGAGAGAGUUAGUGUCUAAUCAAGGAAAGCUAAUGGAUAAUCUAUCUAAGAAAUUGGCAUCUAAUGAUAAAAUGCUAGAAAAUAUAAAUAAUAGAAUGGAUAAUUUCUCUACUGCCAUCAAGAAUCAAAUUAGCUUUAAUAAAAUGAUUGAAUCUCAGUUAAAUCAAAUAGCUGCUGCUGUUCCUACUACUAACCCCGGUAUACCAUCACAACUGGAAGGAUUAGAAUCUGCAAAUCUUGUAGACGUGUUUGAUGCAGGUAAUUGGAGUAACCCCGUCAAUGAAUUUUCUACUGACCGUCUGCCGGUCAAGAGAGGCGAUCCAGGACGCCCCGUCAUCCCGAUCUCUAUCGGCAUGGUGGAUGUCCCAGAAGCACUCUGUGACUUUGGCUCCAGUGUCAACAUUAUACCCAGGGUACUCUAUGAAAAAUUCUUUACAUAUCCUUUAUUAGAGACAACCAUGUGUUUGCAGUUUGCAGAUCAGACGAUAACUUUUCCAAAAGGAAUAGUGAGGAACCUUUGUGUCCGAGUUGGUACCUUGUAUGCCCCAGCAGACUUCGUAGUGGUAGAGACCGGAAAUGAUGAGAGAGCACAUAUCAUCCUAGGGAGGCCAUUUCUGAACACCACGGGAGCUAUCAUCUACGCCAGUGCUGCCAAGAUCAGUUUCUACGUCAAAGGGAAGAAGGAGACAUUUUUCUUCAAGAACAAGACUACACAAAUUCCAAAUCAAUCCAGACGUGAAUCAAGGAAGAGGACCAACAGGAGGAACAGGAACAAGCAAGUGUGGACCGAGUCAGCUAAGAUGGUCACUGUAGUCCAUGGAGGCCAAAAUCACCAAUUGAAGUCACCGUUUUUUACCAAGAAGGACGACCCAGGAAUGCCAAGCAUUUACUGCUCCAUAAAUGGAUACAACUUCUACAAGACGAUUUGCGACACCGGAUCAGGCGUCAACAUAAUGGCCGCAGUCACCUAUCGGCUCUUGUUCGAGACCAUGCCACUAAGACCAAUAUACAUUCAGCUCCAGAUGGCAGAUCAGACAUUUCGAGAAGUUCAAGGAAUAGUAUCUGAUGUCCCAGUCAAAAUAGACGAUCACUUUGUCUACACAGACUUUCAAGUUGUUGACAUGGGAGAAGACGAGUAUGAUCCACCCAUCAUCCUUGGAAGACCAUUCCUCAGCACCGUUAAAGCCAAUAUCUACAUUGGAACCGGAGAAGUCCAUAUGCACUUCCCCUCAGAGAAGGUACGCCGUUAUUUUAGUGACCCUAACUAUAUCGUUGAAGAAUCUAAGCAGAUAAGAAAACGACGCAACCGCAACCAGAGGAGGCAGAUCAUCAGGGACGGAUGGGCAGACUAUGAAGGAGAAGUUGUAAGGUCAGAAGACGUAGAGUUUAAACAAAAUUAUCCAGAGGAGAUUGAAGCACCGAGUCAGGUAUGGAAAAUGAAGAUAACUAUACAAGAAGAGGAGGCGCUGCCGGAAGUACCGACUACGCCACCCAACGAACCUCAGGACGAUUAAGAAAUUGGAGAGUCCCGUUCGGAGGACUUAAAAACACCGAACGCCUUGCCAAGAGGUAAACUUGGUAGUUAUCCUUUCCCUUUCAAUUAUUUCAAAUAGUUUACUUAGUUAAUCAUGUUCAUACUAUCUUAAAAAAAGAAAAUAAAAAUGUGAAGAAACUUAAGCCCCAUGUGAGUAGACGAGUGGCAUAAAACCCAUAAGUAUAUUCACUGUGGUGGCAUAAAAAUAAAAUAAAUAUUUUUCUGCUUUAUAAAGACAAAAAUAUAAAAAUAGGGAGUAGCAAUUAUUAAGGAGUCUCAAGAUAAUGAAGGCUAUAUAUUUAUGCUAACACUUAAUCAGUUCCACAAGCUUUGUUGUCUAUUUGAGCUCCACAGAAUUUAAGAAUCAAGAAGACUAGCAGAAGGAGGACAUUCUAAUCGCUGUCAGAAGGCUGCUGACUUUCAAAUACACCUCUGCCACCUGCUAGCUACAUCAAGAGAAAUUACGUCAAAAUUCAGCUUGGGGGAGAGCACCCCCAUUUAUAUCGAUAAGUAUUUCUAUCUAUCUAUCUUUAUACUUAUAUUAUUUUAGAAUAUUAAUACACAUAAACUAUGGGAAAACCAAAUAAAUAUUUUAUGCUUAUAUAUAUAUAUUACUUAGUGUGUUUAAUAAAUAAAUAAAGUGGCUAUGCUAAUCUGUAUCUAAUAAAACUUAAGCAUGGAUAUGAUGAAUAGUUGCUCUGCCUAAUUUGCACAUUUUAAGUUCUCUCUCAAGUUUAGACAUAACUGUUAUAAUUUAAAGCUUGCUCUAGACCUAAACUUGUGGGAUGAAAACUUGAUCUGAAGUAUAAGUUGUUAACGGAUACGAUAUAGGAAGGUUGAGCUGCUGUUUAUCUGUUUCUAGAGAUGCUAGAAUUCUGGAGAAUUUUAUCUUUGAAAAUCUUUAAAAAGUUGCAUGAUGAGUUCCUGUAUGAUGAGAGCUUAAAAUUCCUACCACAGCCAUAUAUACAUGCUUGCUAGACUUUGAGCCACGCAUUUACUAUUUACUGCUUAUGAGCAUUGAGUAUGGUCAAGCUGUGUAGACCCUUAGGAGCUUGUCAUGUGGUUAAAUCAAGAUUUCACUUGCACGUUCACUCAUAUAUGCUACUUCUACUCCGGAAGUACCAUCCACAUACAUCCACUCAUUUCCAUCUCCAGAACCACCUAAAAAUAUUCUACUCCUAAUCCGGGAGAGAAUAACCAAAAAUAUUUCUGUUUUCCCCUUGUGAAAUAAAUGCUCAAGUUAUCUUGUUACUACCACUUGCUAUAUUAUCUCAAGCGAUGAAUGCUCUAAAAAAAAGAGAGAGAAGAAUAAUACGAGGAAAUAAAAAGGAGCAAGUGCUCGGAACCUCGAAAAAAAAAAUAAAAAGAGUGAGACGAGAGGUAAAAAUGGACAAGUGUCCGACAGUAGAAUUAGGGGUGCAAGAUACCCACCUGAGAGAAAAGAAAAAAAGAAGAGCAUCUCAUUCUCCUCAUAAAGUUUCAAAAGCAAGGAAGGUAUGUAUCCCCUUAAAGAGCAAAAGUAGAAUUAGACUUCCACCACCAUUGUUAUCACCAUCAUCACCAUAUACCAUUCAUUCGCCACACAUGCACAUCUUGAUUAAACUUAUUGACUUGUUACUUUGGAUCCAUGGUUUGACUAUGCAAUAAAUGUCUUGUAAGUAUUUAUACUUUAUCUCCCACCUAUGAGCUCCAGAUAUUAAAGCCUUAUUAGAGUAGGGUGAGAGAGAAGGCAUAUACCAUCAAUGCCUUGGUAAGAAUCCAAAAAUACCACAAAAGAGAGACCUGAGAGAAUCAUACAAGGAAUUCUGAGUUUUAUUUGAAAAUCUGCAAAAAUCCAAGAGCUAUAGCUGAUCAAGAAUAAGAGACAUGGCACUUGGCUAGACUGUUCUAUCUUUUAACCACUCAAGACAGAAGUGACAGUUACAAGUCCCAUGGUGAAGGUAAAGUAAGUAAGUUUUAAGUCUUGACAGUUUACUCUAACUCAAAGAUGAGAUCUUAUUUAAAAGCAUGUGUACCGUCAAAUUUUUAAAAGAUAUUGCAACAACUUAUGAUCCAUAGCUGAGUCUAUCCUUGCUCAGGGACGAGCAAGAGGUAAGCUUGGGGGAGUUUGUUGACGGUCCUUAAGUAUCAAAUUUAAUUAUCAAAUAAAUAAAGAAAAGGAUCCAAAUGAAAUAAAGAUCUAGAAUUAGGGUUUUAUCUGACAGAAUUCCACGAGUUUUGGUGUUUGUCUAUUUCUGCAGGG
rnacentral:lncRNA from 1 species